AUAUGGGCUAAACAAUGCUAAAAAAAGAAAAUAAAAUACAUUCAAACCUUAUAAAAUGAAUAUAGAAAUAAAAAAGCAGCAUUAUUCAAAUUAUAAAAAAACCAAACCUGAAAGUGAGUUUUAUACUCCUAAGUCUAAUACGUAUAUUGGUAGCUCAAAACAACACACUGCUUUUGACAACUUAGAAAAGUAUGUAAAUAAAAACCUAAUAAAUGAUAAUAUAAUUAAUAAAAAAGAAAUUGACAUUAAAAAUAAUGUUUCUGUUAUUACAAAAAAAAAUACUGUAAUUUCAAAUAAGCUUGAGGGCAUAAACACUACUUCUUCUGUUUUAAAUUUGGUAAAGGACACAAACAAAGCAAAAGAACUAGUUUUUUUAAAAAACGAUUUUAUAAAAAAAACAAAUAAGGAAGAAUCAUUAAAAUUAGUUAACAGUAGUUGUAUAAUCAAUAGUAAAGUUGUUAAAGAAAAAAUAACGAUUAAAAAAAAAAAUAAAAGUUUAAAAAAAAGAUUAUUUUCAGAAAACACAUCCAAUGUAUUAGCACAUUUUCAACAUAUUACUACUUUAAAAGCAAAAGGAGAAAAAAAUGUCCAAAGUAGCAAUUGUGAAUAUAGAAAAUUAUUAUAUGAGAAAGAAAAAAAAGACGAUAAUGCUGCGAAAAAAAAAAAUGGCAAACAAUCUAGUACAAAUGUAUGUAUUGAAAUAGAAGAAGGUGAUAGCAAACGGAUAUGGAGUGAAACGAACGAAAAAAAGAUAUUAGCUAAAAAACAAUCGUUGAAUAGAGAACAUGUAAUGGAUAAGAAAAGCAUAGAGGACAAGAAAGGUGUACAAGAUGAACAAGAAAUAGAAGCUGAGUCAUCAGGCAAAAACAAAGAUAAUGAGAGAUUUUAUUAUGAAUAUUUAGAAGUUCUAUAUUUACAUUGCAAAAAAUAUUUUCUUUACGAAAAAAUGGAGUUCCUUAGCAGGAUUUUAUUUUCCAAACAAGCGAAUUUAAAAAAUUUAAUUUUUCUAAUUGAAACAUUAUUUUUAAGACAAAAAUAUCCUGAGUUGUUGUAUUUUUUACGAAUUUAUAAAAAGCUAUGGUGUUUUUCUUGCAAAAAAAAAGUGUCAAAAAAGGGAAGCAACAAAGAUAUC
rnacentral:lncRNA from 1 species